AAUUUUACAAAAAACCCCUCCAGUGUUUCCCGACACAACCCGCGCUCCCUCUCUCCAGUGUUCAGUCGCGCGAUGGCUGCUCUCUUUCCCCAUUCCCCUGUCGGCCACCACGGUUCACGGCCAGAUCCCGGCCAACUCCGGCCAGUCCCUGCCCUGCCGACCUUUGUCGCCACCCCCUCCUUCCCUUACCUCCGUCCAGCCCGUUUACCCGCCAAUUCGCAGCCCCCAACAAACCCUGGGCACCGUCGACACUCACAAAUGCCAACUUUCUCGCCGCGGAUUGCAUAGAGGAAGGAGAAAAUGCGAUUUUUGCGGUGGUGCGGCGACGCGUGGUGGCGAUGCACGGAGAACGGCUGCCGAUGUGGCCGUCCAGGAGGCCGAGGUUCUCGCGGACGACGGCGAGCAGGCCGCGGGUCCACGGACGACGGACGCAGGAGGCCUGCUGUCGCCGAGCACCGCUUCUACUCUUGCGAGGAGCGCGUCCGGGUGCUCGAUCUGGAGUGCAUGGCGACGGCCUCAUCCCUGGUCGCCGUGCCGGGGGGAGGUGGCGACGGCCUCAUCCCUGGUCGCCGCGCCGGGGGGAGGUGGCGGUGGCACAGUAACUCGAGCUCCCCUUCCUCGACCCAGCCCCCGAGCCCGAUGUCUCGUCUACCCUCAGUACUUAAUUUGUACUGAAUGUUACUGAAUGUAGGCGUCGUCAUGUUCAUGUGUCAGUCUGGGUCGUGCGUCGUGUCGUUGAGUCCUGUGGUGUUUUUGAUCGCGAGCUCGAGUGUCUCUUUGUCUGGGGUUAAUUAGAGCUGGUUACGCGAGGAAGAAACAACAUGUUAUCUUUCAGUCGGUCGGUCAUCGGUGAUGCAGCAAUCCCUUCUGUCAUGGAUUGGGAUGUCAUGUUGGAAUCCUAUGUUUGAACUCAGUUUAAAUGGAAGAAGAAAAUGUAAGUCAUAGCUGCGAAA